AGCGAACGCUGGCGGCAGGCUUAACACAUGCAAGUCGAGCGGGCACUUUCGGGUGUCCGCGGCGGACGGGUGAGUAACGCGUGGGAACGUGCCCUCUGGUUCGGAAUAACUCAGGGAAACUUGAGCUAAUACCGGAUACGCCCUUUUGGGGAAAGGCUUGCUGCCGGAGGAUCGGCCCGCGUCUGAUUAGCUAGUUGGUGAGGUCACGGCUCACCAAGGCGACGAUCAGUAGCUGGUAUGAGAGGAUGAUCAGCCACACUGGGACUGAGACACGGCCCAGACUCCUACGGGAGGCAGCAGUGGAGAAUAUUGCACAAUGGGCGCAAUCCUGAUCCAGCCAUGCCGCGUAAGUUAUGAAGUCCUUAGGAUUGUAAAGCUCUUUUAUCCGAGACCAUAAUGACGGUACCUGAUGAAUAAGCCCCGGCUAACUUCGUG
rnacentral:rRNA from 1 species